AGCCGGGUCCUGCGCAACGAAAUAUUACGAACCCCGUCAGAUCCGGAAGGAAGCAGCGGUAGUAAAUCAUUUCGUGUGCCGCAGGGAAACCUGGCUAUC
rnacentral:SRP_RNA from 1 species